rnacentral:rRNA from 1 species
GACGAACGCUGACGGUGUGCUUUAGGCAUGCAAGUCGAACGAGAAAGCCCUUCGGGGUGAGUAGAGUGGCGAACGGGUGAGUAACACGUGGGCAACCUGCCCCUCGCAGGGGGAUAACCGGAGGAAACUCCGGCUAAUACCCCGUAAGCUUUCAGGGUCGCAUGGCGCUGAAAGGAAAGGUAGCUUCGGCCAUCCGGCGAGGGAUGGGCCCGCGGUGCAUUAGCUAGUUGGUGGGGUAAAGGCCCACCAAGGCGACGAUGCGUAGCUGGUCUGAGAGGAUGAGCAGCCACACUGGGACUGAGACACGGCCCAGACUCCUACGGGAGGCAGCGGCCAGGAAGCUUGGGCAAUGGGCGCAAGCCUGACCCAGCAACACCGUGUGGGCGAUGAAGGCCUUCGGGUCGUAAAGCCCUGUUGAUAGGGACGAAGGGCGAAGGGUUAAUAGCCCCUAGCCUGACGGUACCUUUCGAGGAAGCCCCGGCUAACUACGUGCCAGCCGCCGCGGUAAAAC